rnacentral:rRNA from 1 species
GACAGAGGUGCCGAGCGUUAGGCGGAAUCACUGGGCUUAAAGCGCGCGCAGGCGGUUCUUUAAGUCUGAUGUGAAAGCCCACGGCUCAACCGUGGAGGGUCAUUGGAAACUGGGGGACUUGAGUACAGAAGAGAAGAGUGGAAUUCCACGUGUAGCGGUGAAAUGCGUAGAGAUGUGGAGGAACACCAGUGGCGAAGGCGACUCUUUGGUCUGUAACUGACGCUGAGGCGCGAAAGCGUGGGGAGCAAACAGG